AUGGCGGAUGACGCCGAUGCAGCGGGAGGGACUGGAGGCACCAGGGGCCCUGGAAUGGGAGGCCGUGGUGGUUUCCGUGGAGGCUUUGGCAGCGGCAUUCGGGGCCAGGGUCGCGGCCAUGGUCGGGGUCCCGGCGAGGCCGCCGCGCUCUCGGAGGCAAGGCUGAGGACAAAGAGUGGAUGCCGGUCCCCAAGCUGGGCCGUCUGGUCAAGGACACGAAAAUCAAAUCCCUGGAAGGAUCUAUUUCUUCUCCCUGCCUAUUAAGGAAUGUGAGAUCAUUGAUUUUUUUUUUCCUGGGGGCAUCUCUCAAGGAUGAGGUUUUGAAGAUUAUGCCAGUGCAAAAGCAGACACGUGCUGGCCAGCAGACCAGGUUCAAGGCGUUUGUUGCCAGCGGGACUACAACGACCAUGUCGGUCUGGGUGUUAAGUGUUCCAAGGAAGUAGCCACUGCCAUCCGAGUGGCCGUCAUCCUGGCCAAGCUCUCUACUGUCCCAGUGCGGAGAGUCUACUGGGGGAGUAAGAUGGGCAAGCCUCGCACUGUUCCUUGCAAGGUGACAGGCCGCUGUGGCUCUGUGCUGGUACGUCUCAUCCUUGCUCCUAGAGGAACUGGCCUGUCUCAGCGCCUGUGCCUAAGAAGCUGCUAAUGAUAGCUGGGAUCCACGACUGCUACACUUCAGCCAGGGGCUGCACUGCCACCCUGGGCAACUUUGCCAAGGCCACUUCCCCCCCCCAAGUUUUGAGCACUUAUUUUGCCAAAGCCACUUUUGAUGCCAUUUCCAAGACCUAUAGCUCUCUCACUCCUGACCUCUAGAAAGGAGUAUUCACCAAGUCUCCUUACCAAGAAUUCACUGACCAUCUUGUCAAGACCCACACCAGAGUCUCUGUGCAGAGGACCCAGGCUCCAGCUGUGGCUACAACAUAGGGUUUUUAUACAAGAAUAAUAGAGUGAAUUAAG